rnacentral:rRNA from 1 species
CAUGGGCGCAGCCUGAUGCAGCCAUGCCGCGUGUGUGAAGAAGGCCUUCGGGUUGUAAAGCACUUUCAGUCGUGAGGAAGGUGGUAGUGUUAAUAGCACUAUCAUUUGACGUUAGCGACAGAAGAAGCACCGGCUAACUCCGUG